GGCGUCCGUAAAAUUAACGAAGGGAUGAUUUCGACUUCACCAUUUGAACCUCUUGGUUUAAUAGCUUUCUUGUGGGUAGCAACCCCAGUGGCAGAUCCAGGGGCCCCUUUUUUUGGACGAUCAAUGCAUUUGAAUGGGAGCAUAUAGUUGGAACCCCCUUUACUCUGAGUUGGGACCCCCCCCCUUUUUUUUAAAUGGCUGGAUCCGCC
rnacentral:lncRNA from 1 species